GACGAACGCUGGCGGCGUGCCUAAUACAUGCAAGUAGAACGCUGAGGACUGGUGCUUGCACCGGUUCAAGGAGUUGCGAACGGGUGAGUAACGCGUAGGUAACCUACCUCAUAGCGGGGGAUAACUAUUGGAAACGAUAGCUAAUACCGCAUGACAAUGGAGGACCCAUGUCUUUCAUUUAAAAGGUGCAACUGCAUCACUAUGAGAUGGCCUCGCGUCCGAUUAGCUAGUUGGUGAGGUAACGGCCCACCAAGGCGACGAUCGGUAGCCGGACUGAGAGGUUGAACGGCCACAUUGGGACUGAGACACGGCCCAG
rnacentral:rRNA from 1 species